rnacentral:rRNA from 1 species
GAUGAACGCUAGCGGCAGGCUUAAUACAUGCAAGUCAAGGGGGUAGCAAUACAACCGGCGCACGGGUGAGUAACGCGUACACAACAUACCAUAUACUGGAGUAUAGCUUUGGGAAACUGAAGGUAAUCCUCCAUAACAUUGCGAGAGGGCAUCUGAUUGCAAUUAAAGUUUCGGCGGUAUAUGAUUGGUGUGCGUUUGAUUAGCUAGUUGGUAGGGUAACGGCCUACCAAGGCGAUGAUCAAUAGCUGGCGUGAGAGCGCGACCAGCCACACUGGAACUGAGACACGGUCCAGACUCCUACGGGAGGCAGCAGUAGGGAAUAUUGGACAAUAGAGGAA